ACCAGGUUCUUGACAUCCCGAUGCUAUUUCUAGAGAUAGAAAGUUACUUCGGUACAUCGGUGACAGGUGGUGCAUGGUUGUCGUCAGCUCGUGUCGUGAGAUGUUGGGUUAAGUCCCGCAACGAGCGCAACCCCUAUUGUUAGUUGCCAUCAUUCAGUUGGGCACUCUAGCGAGACUGCCGGUAAUAAACCGGAGGAAGGUGGGGAUGACGUCAAAUCAUCAUGCCCCUUAUGACCUGGGCUACACACGUGCUACAAUGGUUGGUACAACGAGUUGCGAGUCGGUGACGGCGAGCUAAUCUCUUAAAGCCAAUCUCAGUUCGGAUUGUAGGCUGCAACUCGCCUACAUGAAGUCGGAAUCGCUAGUAAUCGCGGAUCAGCACGCCGCGGUGAAUACGUUCCCGGGCCUU
rnacentral:rRNA from 1 species